rnacentral:sRNA from 1 species
AAUAAAAGGGGAGCGGCGAAGAGGCAGGAAGACAAGACCAUGUCGAAGGGCCCCGGGCCCGGCGGCUCCGCAGCUUCCUCGGCGCCCCCGGCCGCUACCGCUCAGGUGCUGCAGGCACAGCCCGAGAAACCGCAGCACUACACCUAUGUUAAAUACUAAAGAAGGCUUCCCCACAACCCAUAUGCAUCUGCUUUGACUGGUGGUUUCUAUCAUCCUACAAAGACUGUGACUUAUUGGUGAGGGCAGCUGGACAACUCUGAGAGCAACUUAGAGAAAUCCAUCUUGGGCACACUCUAUAAAGGAGCUCCUUCUCUGCAAAUAGCACCCCAGAUAAGUGCACAAAAGCAAGAUACCCUCGUGGACCUACACGUCCUCCCGCUUUUCAACACCCUGAUGCCUGAAGGUGAGGUCUCUUUCCUGUGUGUCUUAGAAGCCAUGAGCACGCUUAGGUAACUAGAGCCCUGCCACAGCCUGAGCAGCACAGCACACAUCUGCAGGCUUUCCUGCCAGACCUUUACCUAAAGGUAAUUUUUCUCAUUAGGAGAGACU